UCAUUACGUACAAAAUGAUGCCAACUAACUGUUUCAUCAUCUUUACCGUACCUUUACAAUAUUUGAGUGGCUAUGUGAAAUGGUCACAGGUUAGAAACAGAUCAUAGUCCAAAAGUUAAAUAAUAUAUUACAGGUAAUCAUUUCAGUCACAGGAAGUGGGACCAGGAUUGAAGAGGGUGUUGAACAAGCUACAGAAGUGGGUAUAGAAUACCCGGAGUCAUUACUAAGCAGAGUUCUCAGAUUCGAUCAAGGUUAAUUCGAUGAGGAAUGGAAUAUAGACAAGAAUAGGCAGCAAGAUUAGCAGGAAGCAGUCAGAUCAAGUAGCCAAUCAGGCAUUGAAAUGGUCCUUGAAAAAGGAAAGGUGAUUGAGUCGAGGCAUACAAUGAAAUAUCAUUCUGUGGUUCUGGGAAAGUAAAAUUGGUUGGCAUGUUAGCAUGGAAUAGGGUUUCUACAAGGCCGCUUAAAGAAUGUUCCCACUCUGAGAACUGAGGGGAGUUCCAAAUAAGCAGUUUGUGAGUGAUGAUGAACAUGAUGAUGAUGAUAAAGUCUCCUUAUGUAAGAGCUGGCAGAAGAGUUGGUCACACCUACAUGUUUUAAAUUCACAUAAAAGUAAAUAUAUGGCCGGGUGUGGUGGCUCACACCUGUAGUCUCAGCACUUUGGAGGGGCUGAGGCAGGCGGAUCACUUGAGGUCAGGAGUUGGAGACCAGCCUGGCCAACAUGGUGAAACUCCAUCUCUACUAAAAUACAAAAAUUAGCCAGGCGUGGUGGUGUGUGCCUAUAAUCCAAGCUACUCAGGAGGCUGAGGCAGAAGAAUUGCUGGAACCCGGGAGGCGGAGGUUGCAGUGAGCCAAGAUUGCGCCACUGCACUCCAGCCUGGGCGAGAGAGACUCCAUCUCAAAAAAAAAAAGGUAAAUAUAGCUAGGCAUGGUGGCUUGUACCUAGCUA
rnacentral:lncRNA from 1 species